rnacentral:rRNA from 1 species
AGUGAACGCUGGCGGUAGGCCUAACACAUGCAAGUCGAACGGCAGCACAGUAAGAGCUUGCUCUUACGGGUGGCGAGUGGCGGACGGGUGAGGAAUACAUCGGAAUCUACUUUUUCGUGGGGGAUAACGUAGGGAAACUUACGCUAAUACCGCAUACGACCUACGGGUGAAAGCAGGGGAUCUUCGGACCUUGCGCGAUUGAAUGAGCCGAUGUCGGAUUAGCUAGUUGGCGGGGUAAAGGCCCACCAAGGCGACGAUCCGUAGCUGGUCUGAGAGGAUGAUCGGCCACACUGGAACUGAGACACGGUCCAGACUCCUACGGGAGGCAGCAGUGGGGAAUAUUGGACAAUGGGCGCAAGCCUGAUCCAGCCAUACCGCGUGGGUGAAGAAGGCCUUCGGGUUGUAAAGACCUUUUGUUGGGAAAGAAAAGCAGCAGGUUAAUACCCCGCUGUUCUGACGGUACCCAAAGAAUAAGCACCGGCUAACUUCGUG